UUUAUGGAGAGUUUGAUCCUGGCUCAGGAUGAACGCUGGCGGCGUGCCUAAUACAUGCAAGUCGAGCGAACGGACGAGAAGCUUGCUUCUCUGAUGUUAGCGGCGGACGGGUGAGUAACACGUGGAUAACCUACCUAUAAGACUGGGAUAACUUCGGGAAACCGGAGCUAAUACCGGAUAAUAUUUUGAACCGCAUGGUUCAAAAGUGAAAGACGGUCUUGCUGUCACUUAUAGAUGGAUCCGCGCUGCAUUAGCUAGUUGGUAAGGUAACGGCUUACCAAGGCAACGAUGCAUAGCCGACCUGAGAGGGUGAUCGGCCACACUGGAACUGAGACACGGUCCAGACUCCUACGGGAGGCAGCAGUAGGGAAUCUUCCGCAAUGGGCGAAAGCCUGACGGAGCAACGCCGCGUGAGUGAUGAAGGUCUUCGGAUCGUAAAACUCUGUUAUUAGGGAAGAACAUAUGUGUAAGUAACUGUGCACAUCUUGACGGUACCUAAUCAGAAAGCCACGGCUAACUACGUGCCAGCAGCCGCGGUAAUACGUAGGUGGCAAGCGUUAUCCGGAAUUAUUGGGCGUAAAGCGCGCGUAGGCGGUUUUUUAAGUCUGAUGUGAAAGCCCACGGCUCAACCGUGGAGGGUCAUUGGAAACUGGAAAACUUGAGUGCAGAAGAGGAAAGUGGAAUUCCAUGUGUAGCGGUGAAAUGCGCAGAGAUAUGGAGGAACACCAGUGGCGAAGGCGACUUUCUGGUCUGUAACUGACGCUGAUGUGCGAAAGCGUGGGGAUCAAACAGGAUUAGAUACCCUGGUAGUCCACGCCGUAAACGAUGAGUGCUAAGUGUUAGGGGGUUUCCGCCCCUUAGUGCUGCAGCUAACGCAUUAAGCACUCCGCCUGGGGAGUACGACCGCAAGGUUGAAACUCAAAGGAAUUGACGGGGACCCGCACAAGCGGUGGAGCAUGUGGUUUAAUUCGAAGCAACGCGAAGAACCUUACCAAAUCUUGACAUCCUUUGACAACUCUAGAGAUAGAGCUUUCCCCUUCGGGGGACAAAGUGACAGGUGGUGCAUGGUUGUCGUCAGCUCGUGUCGUGAGAUGUUGGGUUAAGUCCCGCAACGAGCGCAACCCUUAAGCUUAGUUGCCAUCAUUAAGUUGGGCACUCUAAGUUGACUGCCGGUGACAAACCGGAGGAAGGUGGGGAUGACGUCAAAUCAUCAUGCCCCUUAUGAUUUGGGCUACACACGUGCUACAAUGGACAAUACAAAGGGCAGCGAAACCGCGAGGUCAAGCAAAUCCCAUAAAGUUGUUCUCAGUUCGGAUUGUAGUCUGCAACUCG
rnacentral:rRNA from 1 species